UACGUAGGUGGCAAGCGUUGUCCGGAUUUACUGGGCGUAAAGAGCGCGCAGGCGGUCGUUCAAGUCGCGUGUGAAAGCCCCCGGCUCAACUGGGGAGGGUCACGCGAUACUGAUCGACUCGAAGGCAGGAGAGGGAAGUGGAAUUCCCGGUGUAGUGGUGAAAUGCGUAGAUAUCGGGAGGAACACCAGUGGCGAAGGCGACUACCUGGCCUGUUCUUGACGCUGAGGCGCGAAAGCUGGGGGAGCAAACGGG
rnacentral:rRNA from 1 species